CAAAAUGACUCUCGACAACGGAUAUCUCGGCUCUUGCAUCGAUGAAGAACGUAGCAAAAUGCGAUACGUGGUGUGAAUUGCAUAAUCCCGUGAACCAUCCAGUUUUUGAACGCAAGUUGCGCCCAAAGCCUUUUGGUUGAGGGCACAUCUGCCUGGA
rnacentral:rRNA from 1 species